GACGAGGGACCCUAGCGUUGUUCGGAAUCAUUGGGCGUAAAGCGGGUGUAGGUGGCUUUGUAAGUCAGGUGUGAAAUCCCUGGGCUCAACCCAGGACGUGCAUUUGAUACUGCGAAGCUUGAGUGCCGGAGAGGUUACUGGAAUACCUGGUGUAGUGGUGAAAUACGUAGAUAUCAGGUGGAACACCGGAGGCGAAGGCGGGUAACUGGCCGGACACUGACACUCAGACCCUAAAGCGUGGGGAUCAAACAGGAUUAGAUACCCGCGUAGUCC
rnacentral:rRNA from 1 species